GAUGAACGCUGGCGGCGUGCCUAAUACAUGCAAGUCGAGCGAAUGGAUUAAGAGCUUGCUCUUAUGAAGUUAGCGGCGGACGGGUGAGUAACACGUGGGUAACCUGCCCAUAAGACUGGGAUAACUCCGGGAAACAGGGGCUAAUACCGGAUAACAUUUUGAACCGCAUGGUUCGAAAUUGAAAGGCGGCUUCGGCUGUUACUUAUGGAUGGACCCGCGUCGCAUUAGCUAGUUGGUGAGGUAACGGCGCACCAAGGCAACGAUGCGUAGCCGACCUGAGAGGGUGAUCGGCCACACUGGGACUGAGACACGGCCCAGACUCCUACGGGAGGCAGCAGUAGGGAAUCUUCCGCAAUGGACGAAAGUCUGACGGAGCAACGCCGCGUGAGUGAUGAAGGCUUUCGGGUCGUAAAACUCUGUUGUUAGGGAAGAACAAGUGCUAGUUGAAUAAGCUGGCACCUUGACGGUACCUAACCAGAAAGCCACGGCUAACUACGUGCCAGCAGCCGCGGUAA
rnacentral:rRNA from 1 species